rnacentral:piRNA from 1 species
UUUUGGACAGGUUUUUAGCUACA